rfam:Pseudomonas aeruginosa PAO1, complete genome.
CCUGGGCGAUCCGACCGCGUGUCCGCUGCCGGGCCACGGCAGCAACCCGAUCGUCGGCGGCUCGCCCGACGU